rnacentral:rRNA from 1 species
GACGAACGCUGGAGGCGUGCUUAACACAUGCAAGUCGAACGAUGAAAUGGAGCUUGCUCCAUGGAUUAGUGGCGAACGGGUGAGUAACACGUGAAUAACCUGCCCUUAAUUUUGGAAUAACCCAGGGAAACCUGGGCUAAUACCGGAUAAGUAAACCUGUGGCAUCACAUGGUUUUGGAAAGUUUUUCGAUUAAGGAUGGAUUCGCGGCCUAUCAGCUUGUUGGUGAGGUAAUGGCUCACCAAGGCGACGACGGGCAGCCGGCCUGCGGGGGGGGACGGCCACACUGGGACUGAGACACGGCACAGACUGCAACGGGAGGCAGCAGUGGGGAAUAUUGCGCAAUGGACGAAAGUCUAACGCAGCGACGCCUCGUGAGGGACGAAGGUCUUCGGAUUGUAAACCUCUUUCAGCAGGGACGAAGCGAAAGUGACGGUACCUGCAGAAGAAGCACCGGCUAACUAUGUGCCAGCAGCCGCCGUAA